rnacentral:rRNA from 1 species
GAUGAACGCUGGCGGCGUGCUUAACACAUGCAAGUCGAACGGUGAAGCUCCAGCUUGCUGGAGUGGAUCAGUGGCGAACGGGUGAGUAACACGUGAGCAACCUGCCCCUGACUCUGGGAUAACAGCCGGAAACGGCUGCUAAUACCGGAUAUGCACCAUGAACGCAUGUUCUGUGGUGGAAAAGAUUUUUCGGUUGGGGAUGGGCUCGCGGCCUAUCAGCUUGUUGGUGAGGUAAUGGCUCACCAAGGCGUCGACGGGUAGCCGGCCUGAGAGGGUGACCGGCCACACUGGGACUGAGACACGGCCCAGACUCCUACGGGAGGCAGCAGUGGGGAAUAUUGCACAAUGGGCGAAAGCCUGAUGCAGCAACGCCGCGUGAGGGAUGACGGCCUUCGGGUUGUAAACCUCUUUUAGCAGGGAAGAAGCGAGAGUGACGGUACCUGCAGAAAAAGCGCCGGCUAACUACGUG